rfam:Stegodyphus mimosarum contig103943, whole genome shotgun sequence.
GCCUUCGUGGUGUAGUGGUCUGCAUGCUCUACGCGUAACCAAGAGGUCCGUGGUUCGAUUCCCGGCAAAGGCG